AUGUCUAAUUGAUGUGCAUGUUUGUGAAGGGUGGAGUGUAAAUUAGCAGCACCAUUGUUUGAUGCUCCUAUUUGCAGAGGAGGCCUGACUGUAUUAAACAGGCUGAGAACACACUUCUAACUCCUCACAAUGCAACUUUGAAUGAAUACGUGCCAGACAGGUUUCUCUGUUCGGGCGGAUCUGCCGAUCAUAUAGAUGCUGUAACGUGCAAAGGUGACUCUGAAGGCGCUCUGUUCCUUCUUAACAGACUGCGGUAUUUUCAAGCUGGAGUAGUGAGCUGGGACACCAAGAAUGUGUGUGAAGCCCAAGACAGAAGUAACAGGCCCCCUCCUGAUGCAAGGGACUUCCACAUUAGUG